rnacentral:rRNA from 1 species
GAAUAUUGGACAAUGGGCGCAAGCCUGAUCCAGCCAUGCCGCGUGAAUGAAGAAGGCCCUAGGGUUGUAAAACUCUUUCAGCGGGGAAGAUUAUGACGGUACCCGCAGAAGAAGCCCCGGCCAACUCCGUGCCAGCAGCCGCGGUAAUACGGAGGGGGCUAGCGUUGUUCGGAAUUACUGGGCGUAAAGCGCGCGUAGGCGGUUAGCAUAGUCAGGCGUGAAAUCCCGGGGCUUAACCCCGGAACUGCGCUUGAUACUGGCUGACUAGAGGACGGGAGAGGGUAGUGGAAUUCCCAGUGUAGAGGUGAAAUUCGUAGAUAUUGGGAAGAACACCAGUGGCGAAGGCGGCUACCUGGACCGGUACUGACGCUGAGGUGCGAAAGCGUGGGGAGCAAACAGG